rnacentral:rRNA from 1 species
GCGAAGUCGAGGGGCAGCAUAAAGUAGCAUACUUGGUGGCGACCGGCGCGACGGGUGAGUAACGCGUAUGCAACCUACCUAUCAGAGGGGAAGUAACCCGGCGAAAGUCGGACUAAUACCGCAUAAAACAGGGGCACCGCAUGGUGAUAUUUGUUAAAGAGAUUCGCUGAUAGAUGGGCAUGCGUUCCAUUAGGUAGUUGGUGAGGUAACGGCUCACCAAGCCGACGAUGGAUAGGGGAACUGAGAGGUUGGUCCCCCACACUGGUACUGAGACACGGACCAGACUCCUACGGGAGGCAGCAGUGAGGAAUAUUGGUCAAUGGGCGGGAGCCUGAACCAGCCAAGUCGCCGUGAAGGAAGAAGGAUCUAUGGUUCGUAAACUUCUUUUGCAGGGGAAUAAAGUGCAGGACGUGUCCUGUUUUGUAUGUACCCUGAGAAUAAGGAUCGGCUAACUCCGUGCCAGCCGCAGC